GUCAGAAUCUUCCUCCUCCUGCUUGGAACAUGGAAUGAAAAUGAGUGGAUGGACUCCUUGCAUGCAUGUCUUCGAGCAUUAUUGGAAAAGAUUACCAGUUAGAUCUGCAUUACCCAAAUAUGAUUGGGAAAUCCCAGAGAACGUCUUGGAUGAAUCGGUGUUUCCUUUCUGAGUAUUCGUGCAUUAUCAGUGUAACUCUUCUACGUAUAAAUCUAGAUGCAAUGAAUGCUUUUGGCCCCAUUAUUGUCAGUAAAAGCUUAGGAGCUAACUUUAAACAUAAAUGCUGUUGUCCAAUGCAUUUGACUUCCAAAGAAUGCUGAUGACCUGGGAAAGCUGUGGCUUUCCAUACUCAAAUUUCCAUCAGUCCUAUCCAGCUAGUCAAGGACCUAUGAGAGGUAUAAUACAAAACAUCUAAAGAGACAACAAUUUCCUAUUUAGGCCUUAAUCCAAAUGAAGGAUGUACGGGAAAGAGCAGAACUACACAUUAGGAGAAACGAAUGCUGGAAUCCUGUUGGGGAAUUACAAAUGUGUUAGCACCAUAGUUAUAAUACACAGUGACACUUGCCCCAAUUCCCCUCUCUUCCAUCCCCAUUUGCCAGACAGCAGCUACUGUGAUCGACAGAGGGUCUGUUUUCCUGUUUUCCUAAAUUAAAUCUUCCUGUCCUCCCAUAAGCAAUCUCCAGUGCAACAGGCAGUAACUGGAUCUUAGUCACAAUUGUCCUUCACAUUGGACAUCACUUGUAGAAAUGGGGGGUGGGGUGUCACCAGCUGCUUCCCAAUCAACAGGGGAAGAGAUCUCCAUCAAUUGCAGCAGCUGAUGCCUGGUAAAUGGGAGUAGGGGGACAUUAUUGGUCCCUAUGUAUCCCCUAAUUUUGGUACUACAUAGGGAUCGUGAACAUGAAUAAGGGCAUAAGUCUAAGUUAUGCAUUUGCAACUGCGCAACAGAAUUCCAGCCAUUGUUGUCAAGAUUGGUAUCAUUGAUUAAAUACAGUGUGUGCACAUACUACAUAAGCGUUUCCAGGUGUGUUUACUUGUGCAUAAAGAUGCAUGCAUAUGCCACAGUUGAUGGUGCUUUCUUCAGUGUCUUAACAUAUAUUACUGCUUUCAUUUCUGUUGUUAAUGGGUUACAAAUGUGCUGCAGCCUUUAUCUAUCAUCAUAGAAAGGGCUGCAGCAUGGACUCCUGCUUUAGCAUUUUUGUCAAAGCACUUUCAAUAUUUUAUCAAUGAUAUUUGAUUAAAUGGCAAUUGGCACUAUUUAAUGGGUUCAAAGCCAAGAGAAGAUCUUUUUAGAAGAUCUCUUUUUAGUCAACAUCUACACUGUUAAUUCAGAUUAUAAAACCAGUCUAAAUAUGUGUCAAUACCAGAGGGCAAGGUGAAUGUUCAAUUAACUAUACCAAGAGCUAUCUAAAUCUCCUUUUAUUCCAUUCUUAGGAACGCAAGUAUACACUUCCUUCAUUUGUAUAAUUAUUUCAACACAUGUAUGGGAUGGCUCACCAGGUAGACAUGUUAUUUGUGUGAAAGGGCCUGAGACUCGGCCAAAAUGACAAAAAUUCAAACAGUGCAUACUCUCCUUUAGACUUACAAUGGUUGUAAUCAAAGAUGGUGUUGAUAGAAGCUGCUUAAUUAUUCGAUACCUUUCAUAAAGGGGCUUCAUUAAACUCUUGUCUUGCUUGUUUACCUAGAAAAGAAAGAUUCCAGACUGAUCCAUGAGGAAUUGACAUCUAAUACAAAGGUGAUGCACCAUUAAAAUUAUUUGCCAACCAAGAAAUACACUUGAAAAUUAAGAAACAUAACUGCAUGCUGCACAAAACAAAAAACAGAAAUGACAUUUUAUAUUCACUAGGCUACUGUUUCUAAUGUACAAAUUUGAAAGAAUGGACAAAUUAAGACAAAUAACCACUCUCCUUCGGCACAGAGAAUGAAAACUGUGUCAAAGAGAUGUGUGAUUUGUCGUAAUCUGUGUUUGUACCUUUCUAGAGAAAACUGAGUCAUGUGAAAAGUACAAAAUAUAGCUCACACAUUUUUCUUUAUGCUUUGUACCGUUGUUUUUCUUAUCUUGAUUUAAAGCCAAUUAAGGUUGAGUCUAACACUAGCCCUGGUGCAAUUGUGAUGGUAGCUAAUGUACCAGGCCAGACUUGCUGCGGUGCCAUGCUGGCAACCACAUCACCAUGCCCCCCAUAUCACUGAUGCCACUCCUAGCUAACCACAGAUCUCCAUGACUGUUUCCUGUCACAUGGGUGAUGUCAUAAUAGGUAGUCUGUGUAAUCAUAAAGAAGGGAGAGAGAUCAACCCUCUCCUUCUUGCUGGUCUGACAUCACAGAUAAGAGCCAGAUGUUGGACGGUUCCAUUUCCAAUGAGGAAGAGCAGCUAUGACAUGGAGUUAAGCCAUUCCCUUUGAUGAGUGCAGGGAAAGAAAGAUGGUGCGGUGUCAAUCUUGACAAUGGAUCAGACUGAAUCGGAACAAAUUCAGCUGUCUACACUGCCCAAAGUCCAAGGAUACCCUGGGAUUUCCAGCAAGCUCUAGAAUAUCCACCAAUGUUGUACAAAGUGCAGGGCAGUAGUAGUAAAAUAAGAAAACCCACAAUUCUCACUGGAAGAUGCCAAAGGGCAUGGGGAGAUUCAACAGUGAUGCAAAGUGAACCCAUGUUUUCUUGCUCAUAGAGACUGCCCUAAUAGGCUUGUGCAAGGAUCCGUUUUAGCCGUUUUCCUUCGGCCAAUAUGACUUUUUUGGCUUGGUUGGAUGGCCGUAAUGGCAAGGGCCCAGCCGUCAUGGUUUCCCAUUCAUAACUAGACCACGUGGCAGCACUUUUCGGGAACACGCGACGCGGAAAGAGGCUGCCGCCACAUGCUCCUCCUUGCACGGGGAUUUGCUGUGAGCCCUGCAUGCUGGGCCAAUUGGAGUAGAAGAAUGCAAUGACGUGUCUUACGCAAGCUGUGUCUACUUAAUGGGGCAACUGCCUCGAUUGCUCUCAGUUGCUUCCUCGUGCUUCAGUCUGAUUGUCUUGCCUUGCUGUCUCUCAGCUUGAUUUUUUUGGCUUGCUUUGGCCUCUCUCUGGAUUUUUUUUUAUUUUCCUUUAUUUCUUGAUUUUUUAUAUUUAGUGGGACUGACUGAGAGUUGAUAUUGUGGAGGACGGGUGAAUGGGGUGUGCGAACACAUUUGGAGACUUGGGAAAAAGAAAGAGCAUCUCUUUCUCUUUGCUCUUGUGGUGGGCUUUUCUUUAGAAAUAUUUGGGUGGCUCUGAGAACCUUGAGUCACCCUUUAGCUUUUUUCCCUCCCUUUCUCUCCCAGUGGCGAAGUGUGUUAAAGCACUGAGCUGCUGAACUUGCAGACUGAAAGGUCCCAGGUUCAAAUCCCGGGAGUGGAAUGAGCACCCGCUGUUAGCCCCAGCUCCUGCCAACCUAGCAGUUCGAAAACAUGAAAAUAUGAGUAGAUCAAUAGGUACUGCUCCAGCAGGAAGUUAACGGCGCUCCAUGUAGUCAUGCUGGCCACAUGACCUUGGAGGUGUCUACGGAUAGCGCUGGCUCUUCGGCUCAGAAAUGGAGAUGAGCACCAACCCCCAGUCAGACAUGGCUGGAUUUAACCUCAGGGGAAACUUUUACCUUUUACCUCUCUCCUUCAGAAAAUACUUCUAAAAGAUAAUAAUUAAAACAAAAAGAAAACCCUCAUUCUCACAAACAACUACCUAGUUACCUACCACCUUCCUUUGCAAACUAGUUCUUUCUCUCUAUAUCUCUCUGUGCUGCUCAUCUCUGCCUUCUGAAUUUUCUAGUAAAAAAUAUAAUAAUAAUAAGUAUUGGCUGACGGUUGCCACUUGCCAAUAGUACAAAGAAAAGUUACAACACUUAGUUGGGCUUCAAUCUGUGGAAAAACUUGGUCGGAAUCCAUCAUCUCCCCUCUUUUCCUUCAGAAAAUACUUCUAAAAGAUUAAUAAUAA